CCUACGGGAGGCAGCAGUGGGGAAUAUUGGGCAAUGGGCGCAAGCCUGACCCAGCAACGCCGCGUGAAGGAAGAAGGCUUGCGGGUUGUAAACUUCUUUUCUCAGGGACGAAGCAAGUGACGGUACAGGAGGAAUAAGCAACGACUAACUUCGUGCCAGCAGCCGCAGUACUACGUAGGUGGCAAGCGUUAUCCGGAUUUACUGGGUGUAAAGGGCGUGGAGGCGGGAAAGCAAGUCAGAUGUGAAAACCAUGGGCUGAACCUGUGGCCUGCAUUUGAAACUGUGUUUCUUGAGUACUGGAGAGGCAGACGGAAUUCCGAGUGUAGCGGUGAAAUGCGUAGAUAUUAGGAGGAACACGAGUGGCGAAGGCGGUCUGCUGGACAGUAACUGACGCUGAGGCGCGAAAGCGUGGGGAGCAAACAGGAUUAGAUACCCGGGUAGUC
rnacentral:rRNA from 1 species